rnacentral:rRNA from 1 species
GAUGAACGCUGGCGGCGUGCCUAAUACAUGCAAGUCGAGCGAACAGACGAGGAGCUUGCUCCUCUGACGUUAGCGGCGGACGGGUGAGUAACACGUGGAUAACCUACCUAUAAGACUGGGAUAACUUCGGGAAACCGGAGCUAAUACCGGAUAAUAUAUUGAACCGCAUGGUUCAAUAGUGAAAGACGGUUUUGCUGUCACUUAUAGAUGGAUCCGCGCCGCAUUAGCUAGUUGGUAAGGUAACGGCUUACCAAGGCAACGAUGCGUAGCCGACCUGAGAGGGUGAACGGCCAAACUGGAACUGAGACACGGUCCAGACUCCUACGGGAGGCAGCCGUAGGGAAUCUUCCGCAAUGGGCGGAAGCUUGACGGAGCAACGCCGCGUGAGUGAUGAAGGUCUUCGGAUCGUAAAACUCUGUUAUUAGGGAAGAACAAAUGUGUAAGUAACUAUGCACGUCUUGACGGUACCUAAUCAGAAAGCCACGGCUAACUACGUG